rnacentral:tRNA from 1 species
UCCCUGGUGGUCCAGCGGUUAAGACUGAGCACUUUCACUGCCACAGCCAGGGUUCAAUCCCUGGUCGGGGAA